rnacentral:rRNA from 1 species
UAUCUCUGUAGAGUCCUGCAUAUCAAUAAGCGGAGGAAAAGAAACUAACUAGGAUUCCCUCAGUAACGGCGAGUGAAGCGGGAAGAGCUCAAAUUUGAAAUCUUCAAGGUUCUACCUUGACGAAUUGUAGUUUAAAGAAGUGUUUUCUGUUGAAGUUUUGGUAAAAGUUCUUUGGAAUAGGACAUCAUAGAGGGUGAGAAUCCCGUAUUUGACCAUUACUUCCAGCGUUGUGAUACACUUUCAAAGAGUCGGAUUGUUUGGGAAUGCAGUCCAAAAUGGGUGGUAAAUUUCAUCUAAAGCUAAAUAUUGGCGAGAGACCGAUAGCGAACAAGUACCGUGAGGGAAAGAUGAAAAGAACUUUGAAAAGAGAGUUAAACAGUACGUGAAAUUGUCAAAAGGGAAGCGUUUGACACCAGUGUUGUUUUCUCGAAAAUCAAUUAAAAAAGGCAGGAUUUUGUGUUGUAUUGACUUUAUCAGCUUUCUGCACUCUUUUCUUGUCUUUUUUAAUGCACUUUUCGUUUAACAAGUCAACAUCAAUUUCUUUUGUUGUAAAAGGGUCAUUGGAAGGUGGCUUUCUUUUCGGAGAAAGUGUUUAUAGCCUUUGGCCUCUGCAAUCGGAGAGAUUGAGGUCUGCAGCGUAGAUCCUUCGGGGUUAGAUACAUUUGUGCUAAGUUAUAGCCUUUCAUAGACAACUUGUUGACUAUGAUCAGUCAUGUAGCUUACUCGCUUAUGCUAUUUUACCUACGCUUAGGAUGUUGAUAUGCAUGACUGAUAU